rnacentral:rRNA from 1 species
GACAGAGGUGCCGAGCGUUAGGCGGAAUCCCUGGGCUUAAAGCGUGUGUAGGCGGACGUCUAAGUACCUUGUGAAAUCCCACGGCUCAACCGUGGAACGGCUUGGUAUACUGGGCGUCUUGAGCCACUUAGGGGUCGUCGGAACAAGCGGUGGAGCGGUGAAAUGCGUAGAUAUCGCUUGGAACGCCAACGGUGAAAACAGACGACUGGGAGUGUGCUGACGCUGAGACACGAAAGCCAGGGGAGCGAACGGG